CCUACGGGGGGCUGCAGUGGGGAAUAUUGGGCAAUGGGCGCAAGCCUGACCCAGCAACGCCGCGUGAAGGAAGAAGGCAUUCGGGUUGUAAACUUCUUUUAAGAGGGAAGAGCAGAAGACGGUACCUCUUGAAUAAGCCACGGCUAACUACGUGCCAGCACCCGCGGUAAUACGUAGGGGGCAAGCGUUGUCCGGGUUUACUGGGUGUAAAGGGCGUGUAGCCGGGCUGACAAGUCAGAUGUGAAAUCCCGUGGCCCAACCACGGAACUGCGUUUGAAACAGUCGGUCUUGAGUAUCGGAGAGGCAGGCGGAAUUCCUAGUGUAGCGGUGAAAGGCGUAGAUAUUAGGAGGAACACCAGUGGCGAAGGCGGCCUGCUGGACGACAACUGACGGUGAGGCGCGAAAGCGUGGGGAGCAAACAGGAUUAGAUACCCCAGUAGUC
rnacentral:rRNA from 1 species